CGGCAUGGUCACGGGCUCAAUAUCAACAUGAAAAUAGAUAAUGCAAGACUACUUGAGCAUGAUCAAUAAAUGUCAAGCUUCAUACUCCUAAACUAGUAUAAGUGGCAUGCCACUGUCUAUGCUUGUGCGAAUGUACUAUUACAAUCCAAGUCAACAAGUAAUAUCAAAGACAUUAGAUAGGUCAUUGAGAGCAACACAAAAAGUCACAUAAGGUGCAUGACAUACACAAGGAAGAUAACACUAGCAUACGAAUAUCAUUAACACAAUGCCCCUGGCCAUCACACAUCAUCCCUGACAUUGCCACCCUUAUCUGAUAGUCACUCGUAUCACUCUGCCAUGACCAUAUCAUUAGCCACCCAUAUCACUCUGCAUAAUAGCCAACUUUAUCGCUUCUCUUGGACAAUAACAUAAUAGCCACCCAUAUCACUCCGCACAGUUAACAGCAAUGAGAUGUCACCCUUAUGCUCUGCAUAACAACAGUAAGAUAUCAAAAUCUGGCCCAUUAGAUGAGGAUUACCCAAGAUAAUAUAAAGAGCCAAUGAAACCUAUAUCCUACUGAUGUGGGAAUCAACAAGUACAAAAUCUUGAACCAUUAUUUCCUCUUUUCUUCUUUUUGAUUCUUCUCUCUUUUGUUGCCUUAGAUUAUGCCUGAAGCCCCUGAACUCUUCAUCAGCAUCACUGUCAUCUUCAUCGACUAUGCUCUUCAAGUAUUCAUUAAAAUCUAAGUCUUUAGUGUCACUACUAUUUAGAUUAGUCCUCACAACACCAAUACCAGAUGGAUUUGCAUCUAGGUUUGCUUCUAAACCUCUAAUAGCCACUAUUUGUUUUUAGUAUAGUAUUUAUAUUUAGGUGAAACCCUUGACCUAAAUUUAUUUUCCCUAGCCUGUGAGUAAAUUAUAAAAUCUGUAGGCACCAUAUUUUCACUAUCAUAGUACCAUCAACCACAUGGUUAAUGUAAAUGUCUGAAAAGUCCUCUUGCUUCAAGCUCGAGACAAGACCCAAAUGUUCAAAGUUAUUUUUCAAUAGUUUAAAUUGUUUUUUUUGUGUCUUAGUAAUAAAACCCGUCAAUUAUAUAGUAUCCUAUUUUACAUGAAUAAUAAUUAAUUUCAACUAAAGAAAAAUGAUCUAAGUCGAUACCCCACUAUCUAACCCAUGAUUCCCCCUCAUAUUUGGAAAAUUCUCUCUCGAAAUUUUUUUUUCCCGUAUGAAAUCUAAUAUUUAUAACACUAUCUAUGUGGAAUUGCAGCAGAAUAAAGAAAUAUGAAUAUUUCCCAAAAUCCUUGACGAAAGUCUCAACUUUUAACCUCAAAUAAUGAGAAAAACUAACUCAUUUAAACUACGAAUUCAUGACAAAAAUAAUUUACUGUAGACGAAAAUAAAAGAAAUAUCUAAAAAAAGGUUCUUCAAAAUCCUUGACUACAAAAUCUACAAUCAACCUUCAAUCCCCGAGUGUAAGAGGAAAUCUCCACCUUUACAUGAUUUCAUCUUGAUCUUUGUUGAAGUUUGGGUGAAAUUUUACUUUAGAGUUAAAGAGAUGUGAUUCAAACUCAAUGGAUUUGAUUAGGGAUGGGAG
rnacentral:lncRNA from 1 species